AGUUUGAUGGCAUCUAAAGAAAUCUGUUGCCAUGCAGUAGUGAGACUCUCCAUGGCAACUUGAAGUCGGGGCCCCUCAGGACUCUGGGGGGGCCACAGUGAGCUCUUCUUCGAACUGCAUCCACCCUCCCUGGGAUGAGCUGCCUCAUGAGGAUCUUUGUCACCAGCGCUUGGGGAGCACCUCCAAAGAGACCCCCUUCUCUGCCCGUGUGCCCCCAUCCAGGACAGCUCCCGUGCCCUUCUGUCUUUGUCUUAAACCCAACCUAGCCAUCCUCAGAAGCUUCCUCUGAGCUGCCCCUUAUGUUGCCUUUCUCAAUCGUUUUGACAAGAAACACCAGCAGGAACAGUCAAGACUUGGAAGAAAUCGGAUUGGGUCAGAAAGAAGGGGGACCUUGGAUAAUGACAGUAAUUGUCACAACUUCCAAUCUUCCUCAAGCUUUAGAGUUCAGGACUCUGGAUCCCCUCACCAAGGCCACGGCACCAGAGAGGAUGAAAAGGGCCGAUGUUGCAUCUCAGCUGCCCUCUUAGCUGACUAGCCGCAUGGAAAAAAAGCUCCUGGAUUUUGACUGGCUCUUCCACCUGCUCACCUGCUCCAGCCCUGAGGCAAGAAUGGCUGUGCUACCCAUGUCACCACACCUGAAGCACCCAGCUGCCCUUCCAGGACCAGCCUCAAAUCCAGACAAGUGACAGACUCACGGGGGGCAGGCGCCAGUGUGAGUGGAAAUCACUGGAUCGAUGAUCAAGGGGAUUGUUGCCCAGCUUUCAGUGGCGCGUUGGAGUCUUUUGAGGAAUUCAUCUUGAAACCCAGGAUUUAUUGAGAGCUAAAAGGUUUUUGAAGUUUCCAGUGUU
ensembl:lncRNA